rnacentral:rRNA from 1 species
UACGAGGGGGGCAAGCGUUGUUCGGAAUCCUUGGGCGUAAAGCGCCCGUAGGCGGUUCGUUAUGUCGGAUGUGAAAGCCCUUGGCUUAACCGAGGAAGUGCAUCCGAAACUGGCGAGCUAGAGUACUAAAGAGGAUCGCGGAAUUCCCGGUGUAGAGGUGAAAUUCGUAGAUAUCGGGAGGAACACCGGUGGCGAAGGCGGCGAUCUGGGUAGAUACUGACGCUGAGGUGCGAAAGCGUGGGGAGCAAACAGG